UACGAACCGUGCGAACGUUGUUCGGAAUCACUGGGCUUAAAGGGCGCGUAGGCGGGCUGCCGAGUCCGGGGUGAAAUCCUCCCGCUCAACGGGAGAACGGCCCCGGGUACUGGCGGCCUCGAGGCGGGUAGGGGCGUGCGGAACACUGGGUGGAGCGGUGAAAUGCGUUGAUAUCCAGUGGAACUCCGGUGGCGAAGGCGGCACGCUGGACCCGAUCUGACGCUGAGGCGCGAAAGCCAGGGGAGCGAACGGG
rnacentral:rRNA from 1 species